AAAGGACCCGGCGACCCCCGGCGGUUCGUGCGCCCGAGAGAGACCCCCGAGCCCACGCGGCUGGGAGGCUCGUUAAGGUCACACCGAGUCUUCACCGGGAUGGCGGGUCAGGCCUCCGCCGCCGCCGCGUAGCUUCCUUAAUCGCCACCUCUUAAGAGCAUGUGAGGGCCUCCCGACCGCACUCUCUCCGCCUCACCCGUCUAGUGAAAUGACGUUUCCUCAUAGCCGCUUACUUGGCCUCUCGCAAAGCCGCCAUCUGAGGGAAAAAAAAAAAAAAAAAAAAAAGUGUGACCCGCUUCGGAAAACUUUUAUCCGGAUAACGGGCUGUUUAUACGAAGACUUGGGUCCUAAGGAGUGGGUUAGAGAACGAGCUGAAGCGAAAAGGGAACUCUCCCGACCGAAAGUUUAUUUUCAAAGGCGUCCGUGUUAGCCGGCGUGCUGUGACACGCCUGAAAUCCCCGCUCAGGAGGCCGAGGAACGAGAAGCAUUGCCAAUUCGGGACCAGCAUGGUCUGCAUAGCGAGUUCAGGGGCGCCCAGGGGCACACACAGCGAGACACGAUCUCAAAGUAACUUUGAAACGCUCCCUUUUAAGCACACUGAACGGUAAGAAAGAUGCUGGGUCGCACAGAGUUCGGUUUAACCCUCCCCUACACUGGAGCAGGUACAGGAUUUUGCCAUGGCUAUAUCAAAGAUGAGACGGCGCAGUGUGGGGGGGUUAGUUUCCACGUUAGACCCCGAGUCUCGCCGUUCUCGGGCCACGGAGCGCUCAACCGCGGAACGCAGUUUCAGCGGGUUCAGUUUUCCCGCAGGAGCCCGAGUCCACCCCCAGCCUUCCUUACUGCGCAGGCGCGCUGCCACCUACCCGGCAUGGAAGUGGUGGGUCUCGUGUGUGUGGCGGUGGCUGUCCUGACCUGGGGCUUCCUCCGGGUUCGGGACUUGGCGGAACGAAUGAGGUCUCCGGAGCAGGCGGGCCUGCCGGGAGCCGGAAGCCGGGCCCUUCUGGUGAUCGCGCACCCGGACGACGAAGCCAUGUUCUUUGCGCCCACGGUGCUAGGCUUGGCCCGCCUGGAGCAGCGGGUGUUCUUGCUCUGCUUCUCCACAGGAAAUUACUACAAUCAAGGAGAGAUUCGAAGGAAAGAACUUUUGCAGAGCUGUGAUGUUUUGGGGAUUCCACCCCCAAAUGUAACGAUUAUCGACAACAGUGAAUUUCCAGAUGACCCAGGAGUACAGUGGGACACAGAGCGUGUGGCCAACACCCUCCUCCAACACAUAAACAUCAAUGACAUCAACCUGGUGGUGACUUUUGAUGCAGAAGGAGUCAGUGGUCACAGCAAUCAUAUUGCGUUGUACAAAGCUGUGAGGGCCCUGCACUCAGAAGGGAAGCUGCCUAAAGUCUGUGAAUGUGCUGCGGAAGUAUCUCUACUUCCUGGAUCUGCCCUGGUCUCUACUGUCACCCCAGGAUGUCCUCUUCAUGCUCACCAGCCAAGAAGUGGCGCGGGCCAAGAAGGCCAUGUCCUGCCACCACAGUCAGCUCCUCUGGUUCCGCCGCCUCUACAUCAUCUUCUCCAGAUACAUGAGAAUCAACUCACUACAGUUUCUCUGAAGCCAAGACGAGUUUUCAGAACAAAGGGAGAAACAAAUCAAGAAGUCCUUGGGCCUGGCUUUGGGCUGGCUUGUCUCCUUAGCCCAGGAGAUCCCAGCAAAGCAGCCUCUGAGAACGAACCAUGUGGACAACACGUCACACAGACCUAGCUUCCUCCUUAGGGAGGAAACCACCGAGACUCCAGACUACACCAAUGCAAUAAGAGCUACCCCACCAGUUUACCAAUUCUUGUAAAAACUAGUUGGCAUGAUAACAGAGUGUGUAUCAAACAUCUAGCAAGGCCUGGGCAGGUUGCCUCUACCAUAAAUGAAUGUAAAGGUGCCAUAAAAAUAGUUCACACUGGGGCUGGAGAGAUGGCUCAGAGUUUAAGAGCACUGGCUGCUCUUCCAGAGGUCCUGAGUUCAAAUUACCCAGCAACCACAUGGUGCCUCACAGCCAUUUAUAAUGAGAUCUGGUACCCUCUUCUGGUAUACAGACAGACUGUAUACAUAAUAAAUAAAUCUUUAAAAAAAAAAAUAGUUCACAGAUGUGACUCUUCCGAAGCAGGCUGUUUUGGUCAGUCUCCUGUUCCUGUAAGGGAAAACCACAGACCAGGCGGUCUCUAGAAUUGAGGUUUCCUUAGCUCAAACUUCUGAGGGCAGGCCGGGCGGUGGUGGCGCACGCCUUUAACCCCAGCACUCGGGAGGCAGAGCCAGGUGGAUCUCUGUGAGUUCGAGGCCAGCCUGGACUACCAAGUGAGUUCCAGGAAAAGUGCAAAGCUACACAGAGAAACCCUGUCUCGAAAAACCAAAAACAAAAAAAACAAAACAAAAAACUUCUGAGGGCUGUGAAGUCCAAGAGCAUAGCAGCCUCUCCAUCACAGUGGGGGGCUUCUCGCUGCACCUCAAAGGCCAAGGCAGUCACUGGACACAGAGCAAGUGAGCCAGAGAGAGCUCCUUUAGAGCAAAACCACACCUACAACAAGUGACCUGUCACCUCCAAAAGGUCUCACCUCUAAACACUGGUGCUUAAAAUUCUAGCCAAACCAUAACACAGGUUCAACACACACACACACACACACACACACACACACACACACACACACACACACACACACUUCACUUGGUUCAGUCAUAAUUCUGUGGGGUUUUGUGGCCCCCUUACCAGAACUUUAGUCUAGGUAGACUGUACUUUAUCACCAUGGUGGUGCUGGUGUGUGUGUAGAUGGUCAUAUGGGUCCUCGAUUUGAGGAGCCAAUAAACAUAUCGGUUCUCUGCGUUUUGAAGGUAGGAGCUGGGCGAACACCUUUAAUCCCAGAACUUGGAAGGCAAAGGCAGGCACAGGUGGAUCUCUGUGAGUUCGAGACCAGUAUGAUCUUCAUAGUAAGUUUCAGAAUAGCCAGAACUAUGGAGAGAGACCCUGUCUCAAAAAGAAAAACAAAGAAGUAGGAAAUAGAGAAAAGAGAAACCUGGAACCUUUUUUUUUUGUUUUUUUGUUUGUUUGUUUGUUUUUUUGAGACAGGGUUUCUCUGUGUAGCUUUGCGCCUUUCCUGGAACUCACUUGGUAGCCCAGGCUGGCCUCAAACUCACAGAGAUCCUCCUGGCUCUGCCUCCCAAGUGCUGGGAUUAAAGGCGUGCGCCACCACCGCCCGGCUUGGAACCUUUUUUUUAAGCACUCAAAAAUCCAAUGUCAACCAGGCAGGGGCAGCGUACAUCUAAUCCCAGCACUUAGGAGGCAGAAGCAGGCAGAUCUCUGAGUUUGAAGCCAGCCUGGUCUACAAAGUGAGUUCCAGGACAGCCAGGGCUACACAGAGAAAGCUGGUCUUGAAAUAGAAACAAAAAAAGAAUCCGAUGUUGCCGAGCAUGGUGGCACACAUCUAUAAUUCCAGUACUCAGAAGGCAGACAGAGGGCAGCUCUGUCUGCAUGUGGAGUGCCAUAAUGAAACCCAUUAACUCAUAUGCUAACUUAAAAGAUUAAUAAAAACACACAUAUAUGGAUAUAUACAGUAUUGACAGAUCUUUGUGGGGUUCAAAAGGGCACUGAGAUGGAUUGUCUUCUGGGUAGGAAAUUUACUAGAAGAGUUAUUAACACUAUGGGCAGACAGACAUGAGACCUUGUCCCCCCCCAAAAAAAAACCCACAAAAACAAAUCAAAUAAAUAAAAACUACCAUUCUAAGCCAGACAGGAAAGUGUACACCUUUAAUCCCAGCAUUGGUGGGUCUCUGUGCAUCCUAGCCAGGCUGGUCUACAUAGUGAGUCAGCCAGUGCUACACAGUGAGACUCUCAGAAAACAAAAACAACCUGGGCGUGGUGGCACACCCUUUUAAUCCAGUAGAGGCAGGCAGAGCUCUGUGACUUAGAGGCCAGUCUGGUCUACAAAUCGAGUUCCUGGACAGCCAGUGCUAUACAGAGAAACCCUGUCUUGAAAAAACCCAAACCAACCAAACAAAAUGCAUAGAAUUACAAUGCUUCCAGGUAGUGACAUUUGAGAAUUAUUUCGUGCCUGUUCAUAUUUGUUUCACUAUAUAUCGUAAAUUAAGAAGUUGGGGAUAGUAGCUCGGUUGGUAUAGUGCUCGCCUAGGUCUGGUCUCCAGCACAGCAUAAACUUGUGUGCCAACAUUUGGGCUGUGGAGGCAGGAGUAUCAGAAAUUCAGGGUCAUGAUCAGAUACAUAGCAAGUUUGAAAUCAACCCAGGCUAACAGGAGACUCUCUAAAAAUAAAUAAUACGGAAAAAUCUAGGAUGGAUUUUGUUUUGUUUUGUUUUGUUUUGUUUUGUUUUCCAAGACAAGGUUUUUCUGUGUUAGCCUUGACUGUCCUGGAACUGCUCUGUAGGCCAAGCUGACAUGGAACUUGGAGAUCCAUCUGCCUCUGUCUCCCAAGUGCUGAGAAUAAUGGCGUAUGCCAACACCACCCAGAAUGGAAGGAAUAUUUUUAAUGGUAUUUUAUUUGCUGAUUGCCCAAUUGAUGCUAUUUCUCUGCGAGUACCUUCUGUGGGACUGCUUAAACAGUCUCCAUUCAUGACCCCCUUUCACCUGAGAAAGUUUUACACAACCCCAGAUAUACAGGUAUAUAAAUAGGUAUAUAAAUCAAGCAUUUACUGAUAAUAUAUCAUAAAGAACUCUUUCAAAAUAAUUCUUUGGUAUACAUGGAAUUUUGCCAUUUAAGGAAAACUAAAUCUGCAUACUGAGAUGGACAUGCUUGCUUAUUUAAUAUAAAAAAUUAAGUUCUGGCUGAGUACUUGAUGCCACAAGGCACCGCACCUUCAAUAUUUUUCAUAGAUGAUCAAUAUUUUGAUUUUAUUGUCAUUAGUGACAGUGUCUAUUCCUGUAGAUACAUAGUACAAAAUGGCAGAAGUAUACUUAGGAAUGUUUCAGAAAUUGAUGAGAGUUAAGUUUCAAACCCAGACAAACAGCUGGGGUGUGGUGAUAUACUGUGUCCCCCAAUAUAUUGUGUGCCCUAAUAAAAUUUAUCUGGGGUCAGAGAACAGAACAGCCACUAGAUUAGAUAUAGUAGCCAGGCAGUGGUGGCACACACCCUUAAUCCUUGCAUCCCGGAGGCAGAGAUUCAUCCAGAUCUCUGUGAGUUCAAGGCCACACUGGAAAGAGGGCCAGGCAUAGUGGCACACACCUUUACUCCCAGCACUUGAGAUCUCAUGUCUUUGCUUGGGAAAGACACAUGCCUUUAAUCCCGGGAAGUGAUGGCAGGAAGCAGAAAAGUAUAUAAAGGCGUGAGGACCAGGAACUAGAGGCUUUUAAGCUUUUAGCAGCAGUUCAACUGAGACCCUCAGGGGUCAGGACUCAGAGGCUUUCAGUCUGAGGAUUCAUGGACACAGGACUGGUUGAGGGGUUGUUGAGGUGAGGUUGGCUGUGGCUUGUUCUGUUUCUCUGAUCUUUCAGAAAUUACCCAAUAUCUGGCUUCAGAUUCUCUAUUUAUAAGACCGUGUAACAAUUCCUGUUACACUGAGGUGCCUGGUAGACCUGGCCAAUAGGUUCUCCCAGCAUCCCUCCAUCCCUACCUGUUGCAGGUAGGGUAUUGGUAUGCCAGUCAUACCAAUACCCUCUACCCUGAACUCUCCAGCCCAAGGGCUGGGCUACCCUUCCCCCAGAGGCUCUUCCCAAUAUAAUCCACACAUUUUGGGUUGUCCCUUUUGUACCUUUGGCCUCCUGGCUGCUGCUGGUUCCCCUCUCUCCCCUCUCCCUGCCUCUCCAUAUGGCCUAGCUCAGGCUGGUCAUGUCCACUCUGGACUUUCCUAGAUGUCCUGGUCUAUGGUGAUAUUUUAUUUGUAUUAAAAUGUCAUUUGUAUGUUAAUAAAUAAAGUUGCCCGGGGGUCAGAGCUAUUAGCAAGCCAUAGGAAAGCAGGGCAGUGGUGGCGUACGCUUGUAAUUCCAGCACUUAGUAGGCAGAGCUGGGUAAGUCUCUGUGUGUUCAGGGAUACAGCCAGUAUUGGAUACACAUGCCUUUAAUCUCAAUACCAAUCAUAGAAAACCUGGAGGUCUAUACAGACAGGCCGUGACGAGGCGGUCUUGUGGUUGGGUUUACAACCAAUGAGAAAGCAGAAUAGAAACUAUAUAUAAAGACUUUAACACAGGGGUAGCUCUGGUUCAGAGAGGUAGGACCACCACAGGAGGAAGGGUAAGGCUUUAGCUCUUAGCUCUGACCUCUUGGCUUUCUUCUUUGCAUUGGUUCUGUGUUUCUUAUUUAAUAAGAUGGUUGGAUACAUCUACACUGGUCUACGCUUCUAUCUAUGCUCUCCCUCCUAUCUUCAAUAAACUUUCUCCUCCACCAUACCUAGGAGUAGACAUGUCCUUUCCUUUUUAUUUUUUUUUCAAGAAGGUAUAAUAAAAGUGAAUGUUCAUAAUUGGAACAAGACUUAAGUCAAUUCAUCAGAACUCAUCAAAUCAUAAGUGGCUUUUAUUUCUUAAAAAAUAAAAAAUAUCCAGGCAUGGUGGUGCACACCUUUAAUCCCAGCACUCAGGAGGUAGAGGCAGGCAGAUCUCUGUGAGUUUGAGGCUAGCCUGGUCUACAAACUGAGUUCCAGGUCAGCCAGGGCUGUUACAUAGAGAAACUGUCUUGAAAAACUAACUAAAGAAGGAAAGAAGGAAGGAAGGAGGGAGGGAGGGAAGGAGGGAAAGGAAGGAAGGAAUAAAAUAAAAAGAGGCCAGCUCAGUCUACAUAGUGAGUUCCAGGAUAGCCAGGGUUACAGAGAGACCCUGUCUAAAAAGGCCCACACGGUGGUGCACUCUCAGGAUGCUGAAGCAGAAGGAUUUCAAAUUUAAAGCCACCACGAUCUACAUGGCAAGACAUUCUCUCUAAAAACCAAACGAAAACACAAACUAAUUCACAUUUGCCUCAUUAAGCCUUCCAUGUCAUUCAACUUGUAACAAUUACAGGCAGGCCCAAAGUACUCGACACACUAGAAAACGCUCUUUCCUGGGAUCAUGGUUAUGAUCUGCAGAGCCCAAGCGGAAACUUAAUAACCUAUUGCCUUUCAAUUUGCUUUGCUCUGUAGUUGUGACAGGAGGGAGAUAGAAGCAUUCUAAGGUCUCUUCUGGAGGGGAGGGGUGCUGGGGUGAGAGGGUACAGUGUCAAGAUGCAGAAGGACAAAUAACAGGGUAGAGAUUGUUAGUCAUGGACAAGCAUUGUAUCCAAAUUCACCAGGGGGAAAUUUAAAAGGCUGCAAAACAGCUGGGGAUGCAGCUCAGAGAAGUGGUUGCCUAGGAUGCGUGGAGCCCUGGGUCUGAUUUCCAGUGCGAUAUAAACAGGGUGUGGUGGUGCAUGCUGUAAUCUCAGCACUCAGGAGAUGAGGGCAGGGCAUCAGAACUUCAAGGUGGUGCCUUUAAUCCCAGCACUCGGGAGGUAGAGGUAGGUGGAUCUCUGUGAGUUGGAGGCCAGCCUGGUCUACAGAGGGAGCAGCAGGACAAGCAGUGUUACACAUAGAAGCUCUGUCUUGGAAAAACAAAACAAAACAAAACAAAAACAAACCCACAACAGUAAGAAGGCAGAUGCUGGGGUGAAAACCUGCUAGCUCAGAGAGGCAGAGAAAGCAGCAGGGUGACCUUCCUCCUCUACCUUUGUCUCAGAAAGAAAGCUCUGUUCUAAGCCCUCUGAAACGAGAGUUCCUCCUCCCAGCUGUCCCUCCCUUCUACUUCCUGUGCUUCUCUCCCUGACCUUUCAACUUCCCUCACUCUAUGGUUACUUCAGGUCAACUGGUUGCUUGCUCCACCUCUUGACCUAUGGUUGAUUUUAUGUACAUAAUGAAAUCUCAGGGCUCACACUGUGACCAAAUAACCUGCAAUCCAUAGCAAAGGGAAGAACUGACUCUGCAAGUUGCCCUCUGACUUCCAAGCAUGCUGUGGAAUACACACAGACAGACACAGACACACAUACAUACACACACACACACGCACGCACGCACGCACGCACGCACGCACGCACGCACACAUGCACACAGACACAGUAUAAACAAAAAUGUUUUUUUAAAUAGAUGAGAAGAAAUGAAGGGUACUGUGGUGGUCUGAAAAAAAAUGACCCCCAAAUGGAGUGGCACUAUUAGGAGGUGUGGCCUUGUUUGGAGGAAGUCAGGGCUUUGAGGUCUCCUGUGCUUAAACUAAGCCCAGUUCACUUCCUGUUGCCUACAGAUCAAGAUGUAGAACUCUUAGCUCCUUCUCCAGCACCAUAUCUGCCUGCACACAGCCAGGAUGAUAAUAGACUAAACCUCUGAAACUGUAAACCAGUUGUAAUGUUUUCCUUUAUAACAGUUGCCAUGGUCAUGGUGUCUCUUCACAGCAACAGAAACCCUAAGACAGACACAGAUUUGAAAACACAACUUGUACAUUAACAUUUCAAAUUGAUGAAUGGAUGGUUGGUUCGUCAAAGGAAAUGUUGACAACCUGUUACCCCUUUCAAUGUUAUGGAGGUCAACUCCUCUCUCGCACCUUUCACAGGAUCUAGCAGGGUAGAUGGGGUUGGAGAAGGUUAACUGCAAAAGGAAAAAAGAAGCUGGGUAUGGUGGUGCACCUUUAGUCUCAGAACUUGCGAGGCAGAGGCAGGUGGAUCUCUAAGUUCAAAGCCUGCCUGGUCUGCAGAGCAAGUUUCAGGACAGGCAGGACUACACAGAGAAACCCCAUCUACAAACAAACAAACAAAAUUUUAGUGGCUCAGCAGUUAAUGGCACUGAUUGCUCUUGCAGAGGUCCUGAGUUCAAUUCCCAGCACCCACGUGUUGGCUCACAACCAACUAUAAUGGUAUCUGAUGAUCUUUUCUGGUAUGCAGGCACACAUGCAAAUAGAGUACUCAUAUACAUAAAAUACAUAAAUAAAUACAUCUUUUUUAAAAAAUUAAAUUUACAAAAUACCUUUUUAAUUAAAAAAAUGAAGAAUGCCUGGAAUUUUUGGUAUUGUCUGUUUUUGAGACUGUGUCUGUGAAGUCUGGGCCAUUUAGAACUUGCUAUUCAGACCACCUGGCAUGGAACUUGCCACAGUCCUCCAGCUUCUGACUCUUGAAUACUGGGAUGGAUUACAGGCAUGGGAAAACGUGGAGUUCGGACUCCACAAGACCAGUUUCUGUGGGGUGCGUAGCCCUAGGGCCGUCUGACUUUGACCAGUUAAUAACAAUGUGGGUUUCUACCAGCAAGCCAAGAAACUUGUCUUGACUUCCUUUCCCUAACUCUUUGGCCUGUAGUCUACCCUACAAACUCAUGGAGGUCAGAGGACAACUUUCAGGAGUGGGUUCUCUCCUCCUGCCAUGGGUUCCUGGGAUCUAGCUCGGGUUGUCAGGCUUGAGAGAUUUUAGCCGCUGAGCUGCAAAUUAGGACAUUUUCUGAUGUAACUGCUUUGGUGACUCUUCCCCUCAGUGUUUUCAAUGGCUCCUAGACUGUCUCCUUUACGUUUCCAUCAUGCAGCUUUUCCCAAAAGUCCCUUUAACUGCCAAGCACUGAACAUCCUGGAGUAGUUAAUAAACAUUUGCUCUUUGUUUUAAUAAAACUAAUGAGGUGAUUUGUGAGGCAGACUACAUCAUACAGGGACAUGUGCUAAUAAUUUUUAAAUGCUGUAAUGAAAAUAAAUACUUUGCUAACUUUAAAAAGAAAAGAUUUACUAGAUGAGCUAUUCAACUAUUUUAAAUAUUAGAGUUUCUAGGAAAUACCAAGUAUUUAAUAAACAAGUGUAUUACAUUAAAAUGUUUGUACAACAGGCUGGCUUUAUUUGUCUUGGUCAAAGCUGCUUUCAGUUUCUUAAUACCUUUACAAUAAAAGCCAAACUUCUGAUACUAAAACCUCA